AAAAAAGAUGUGGAUAAUAUCUAUAUCAUAUUGUAAACAAAGAUUUAAAAACAUUUCUUAUUCUAGAUUUAUAUAAAUUCACACAUGACUAAGCAAACAUAUGCAUCACUCUGCUGUUUUGGCCUGGCUUUUCUUCACAUGUUUUCAAUGCAGAGGGGAGUUAACCAAUGGUACAGAGUUUAUGUUUUCGACCCUGCCAAUAGCUGGAGGCUUAUGGACGUUUGGUCUGAUCGUGCUCACUUUUGAAACCAAA